AGGUAUUUGAAUUAUCAUAUUUGUCUUGUAUGUGAUGUGUGUGUAUAUAUCUGAAGGUUGAGAAACUCAAAGAGAUGCUUCGACAUUUCAGGUCAUAUCUUCAUAUCCAACAAAAUGGUAUCAGGCGUUGAGGCCACAUAAAGAAGGAUAAGGUGAACUACUACGCGUCGAGGCAAGCAAGUUAGGCAUUGGAGGUCGAAAGUUUAUUUUUGAGGCAUUGUUGCAAAAGAGCAUGUUCAUCGUAUUAUAGAAUCCAUGAGUUAAGUUAAUAAAGAGAAUUCAUUUGUUAUUUA